rnacentral:misc_RNA from 1 species
UUUCCGUAGGUGAACCUGCGGAAGGAUCAUUAUUGUAUGACCUCGGGGCGAGGUCUGUCGCUCAAACGAAUGGGCAUCCACGCCCGAGUGCCCUCACACACAUCAAUCUCACACCUAUGUGCACCACCGCAUGAAUCCCACUCUGUCUUCAUCGGAGGGGUGCUUACGUGUUCACACAAACUUUGUAGGCGAUGGAGAAUGUAUACUUUGGUUUUGCGGUCACGCAAUCACAACAACUUUGAACAACGGAUCUCUUGGCUCUAGCAUCGAUGAAGAACC